rnacentral:lncRNA from 1 species
UAAUUUAAAUAAUGAAUGGUUCAGUUAGAUGACACUAUGAAUGUUUGAGUAUCUGUGAACUGGUUUGAGUUGAUGUUUUCCUAUGAUGCUUGCAGUUGGAGAUUUAUGAAUAAUUGGUUCUUGGAUUUAUAUAUUUACGUAUUGUGGUUUUCUACCCCUCGAGAUAGUCGGUUUUCAAAAGUAAAGUUUCUGAGUGGAAAACAGUUUUAAAAGGUUUUCGAAUAGUUUUUAUGGAUAAUUAAAUAGAAUUCAAAAACAAAGCUUUCGGGUGGGGAGCACUUUUAAAUAGGAUGACUGUUAUACUGUGCAUCACAUCAUCCAGCGCCUAAGGAGUGUUUGGAGGCAUGCAUCAUCUCUAAGGAUCGUUAGCUGUAUGGAAAUGCAUCACAUGAAUUAUUUGUGGAUUGGUGAAUGUAAGCUGUUGUUGUGAUCCUGAUGUUGUUGUUAGUAUGCCGUGCAAAUAUAAAGGAGACUCUGUCCGUGUAGCCAGAGGAACUUUAUAUUUGUGGCGGAUCUAUACGUCACGUGGACCAGGUUGAAUAAAAAAAAAAGGGCACGUUUUUCGCAACUCUGAUUUCAAAAAAUUGUAUUCAUUAUAAAAAGGUUUUUAAAAUCGGCCCCAGGGCGUGACAACAACUCAUCACCAUAUGGAACCUUCAGCGAGCGCUAAUUCAUAAUGGUGACUCCCGGGUUCAUUAACCAAACAAUUCCGACCUAUCUAUUUAAAACUAAUUAUAUAGAAUCAUACUCUGGUUCGAUUUCAUUUUAACCAUAAUUUAAAUAACAACUUGAUAAAAUUAAAUAAUCCAAUCCUAAUCUAAUAAAUCAUUAGCAUUAUCUCUAAUAAU